GAGAUUUUACAACUCUUCAUCCGACAGAAAAAGGAUCGCCUUGAGCCAGAAUACACAUGAGUCCUUCCACUGUGGAAAUUCCUGUGAACUUGCAAACCAGCUUUCAUAGCAGGAGGAGGCAAGAGAACAGGUCAAAUAAACCUCUAGACGAGUGAAUCUGAAAACCCAUGCAUAUGAAAUGAUGAGAACAGAAAUGCCAAAGCAUCGACUAAUAGCUCAGUAAGCAGUAACUGGCUAAUGUGCGGAGAACAGGAUCCAGAAGAGAAAAGGAUACAAGGUAGAUGGCUUUGAAGGAGGUGGUGACGGAGGGGAACAGACCCCAUGGCAUAGGAGGUGUUACUCUUUACUCUCAACAACGACCCUACUCAGUAAAUGCAUUAUCCCUAUUUUACGGCUAUGGAAGUUGAUCAGAAUGUGAAGUGACUUGAAUAAGUCACACCGCUAUUAAGUCAGGGAGCCACGC